rnacentral:lncRNA from 1 species
UUGUCUUAUCUACGGUAUUAUUGUUCUUUUGUCUGAAAAUCUCUAGUAAUAUUUUGACCCUAUACUUCCAUCAAUUCUUCGAAUAGUCCGAGCGUGCUGUCAACAGACAGCUCUUGUUUUAACAUGUUGUCCAGCACUUGGAGAUGAGUGUUGGCACCAGCAAGCAGUUCCCUUGUUUUUAAACUGUUACUUGAGUAUAAUUGGGUUUUGCAUGUAGUAGUUUGUAGUAGUUUGAAUAAGUAAAACCAGAAACAAAGUCAGCCGAAUGUUGCCAAAAACACUCUGUAAGUUUGUUUUUUUAGUUUUAAGUCAAGAAAUAAAGAUUUAUAUUAUUCAAGGCUAUAAGUGUUAUCUUAACCUAGAUCUGGUAUCUUUGUUCUUGAAGCAGGGUGUAUUACAUACAUCAGAUUGGUUUUAGACCUGGAUAGAAAAUUGUCCAUGUAUAUACGAUGUAUACUAUGUAUACUGUACUCUAGGGUUGAAGGACUCUCAUUACCUGUACAAAUCACAUCACAUACACUAAAGAAAAAAAUAAUGCACAUUCUUUACUGUUAGAAACCAGAUACAAUAAAAAUACUUCGCAUGUUUGUAAUUUUGUUUCCACUCAAUAACCUCAAUAUUUUUACCGAUGUUCCUCAAUCUUGACAGAUAGACACCUCGCUUUCAGCAUAUUUUACUCAAUACAGCGAUGGUAUUGUUAAAAUCUUUGAUACUUACCACUGUUACAUCAAAAUUAAGUUGUCAAAGAAAGCAAAGUUUCUUUUAGAUGAUCAGGAUGUAAAUGACUGGUUUUAUAUUGUACAGUGUGUUGGAAAACCAUAAUGAUCUUCUGUGAUGAUGUAUUAACCAAGAUAAAAGGGAAUUGAUUAUGUAUAUUGUAAAUUCAUUGUUACUGCUGUUGUUUAAAUAUAAUAUGUAUGUUAAAAAUGAAGUGAUGUCUUUAAAAAGAAAAUGAUCAGAAAAUAAAGCAAUAUAUUUUGAA